UGCGGGGUAUAUCAAAGGCAGAUUCCCGGGUUCAUACCCCGGUGGUUGUCGGUUCGAGUCCGGCCCCCGCUACCA
rnacentral:tRNA from 1 species